UAGGUUGCCUUUGGGCAGGCUCUCCUGAAUGUAGGCAGAGCCAACAAAGGCUGCAGCCUUUGUUGGCUCUGCCCACAUAGUCUUUCUUUCACACAUAGUCUUUCUUUCAGAUCCAUGGAUCUGAAAGAAAGACUAUGUGUGCGUGAUGCUAACAGGAGCGCGGCGAAUGCGAAUGGCGCUAUUGGCUGAUUCGAUAACGGAGAGAAGACGCCGUCGCCGAAGCUUGUGGAGCAUCAGCUGUAAGAUGCCUGGGUGAGCUCAUGACGCUAACGUGCUCAGCCAGACACGCCUGUUAGCAGAAGAACCGAGAGAAAUUGAUGGCGUCUCAAUCGGUCACUUCCUGUUGGCAGAUCCAGCGUAUCCUCUCAUGGACUGGAUCAUGAAAGGGUGAAUACGAGGGUGAACACGUGUUCACGGGUGAACACGAAACACAAACACCCAUUCCCCAAACAUCACCCCUGAGCAAGAGUUGUUCAAUGUCUACUUAAGCUCUGCAACGACCACGGUGGAGAUUGCGUUUGGGAGACUGAAGUCACAUUCACCCCUACAGUGAUUGCUACUUGUUGUGCGUUGCACAAUUUCUGUGAGAAUGAGAAGGAAGCUGUGGAUCCCAACUGGUCAGUGGAAGCGGCCACACUGGCAUCGAACCUGCCACAGCCAGGUGGUCGUGCCAACAAUCGUGGACGACACGCGUGGACAGAGGAUCAGAGCCGCCCUCACAGAUUACCUGAGUGCAAACCUGCCCCGCGCAGACCUUUAGACGUACUCAUUACAUAAUUGCCAGUUUGUCAUAGGUUUGUAAAUACAAUUCUUGUACAGUUCAUGUGUGUUUCAUUCCACAAAUAAAGAAUCUCACAGAAGUUUUA